rnacentral:rRNA from 1 species
UUAGGCCGCGGUAUUAUGACCGUGCAAAGGUAGCAUAAUAAUUAGUUUUUUAAUUGAAGGCUAGAAUGAAUGGUUGGACAAGAGAUAAACUGUCUCAGAUUAAGAUAUUGAAUUUAACUUUAAAGUGAAAAGGCUUUAAUGAUCUAAAGGGACGAUAAGACCCUAUAAAACUUUAUAUUUUAAGGUAGAAAUUAAUUUUAUUUAAGAGUUAUUAUUUUAAAAUAUUUUGUUGGGGCGACAAGGAUACAAGAAAAAGUAACUGUCUUUUAUUUUUACAAUUAUAUUUGGCGUAUGACCCUAAAAGGGAUUAAAGAUUAAGUUACUUUAGGGAUAACAGCGUUAUUUUCUUUGAGAGUUCCUAUCGACAAGAAAGUUUGCGACCUCGAUGUUGAAUUAAAGGUUCUUUAUAGAGUAGAGACUAUAAAAGAAGGUCUGUUCGACCUUUAAAAUUUUACAUGAUUUGAGUUCAGACCGGUGUAAGCCAGGUUGG